UGACUCAUCAGGCUCAGGCCCCUAAGUA
rnacentral:piRNA from 1 species